rnacentral:rRNA from 1 species
UACGUAGGGUGCAAGCGUUAAUCGGAAUUACUGGGCGUAAAGCGUGCGCAGGCGGUGAUGUAAGACAGAUGUGAAAUCCCCGGGCUCAACCUGGGAACUGCAUUUGUGACUGCAUCGCUGGAGUGCGGCAGAGGGGGAUGGAAUUCCGCGUGUAGCAGUGAAAUGCGUAGAGAUCCGGAGGAACACCUGUGGCGAAGGCGGCCCCCUGGGCCGCACCUGACGCUGAGACGCGAAAGCGCGGGGAGCGAACGGG